rnacentral:rRNA from 1 species
AUACGGAGGAUCCGCGCGUUAUCCGGAUUUAUUGGGUUUAAAGGGAGCGUAGGUGGACAGUUAAGUCAGUUGUGAAAGUUUGCGGCUCAACCGUAAAAUUGCAGUUGAUACUGGCUGUCUUGAGUACAGUAGAGGUGGACGGAAUUCGUGGUGUAGCGGUGAAAUGCUUAGAUAUCACGAAGAACUCCGAUUGCGAAGGCAGCUCACUGGACUGCAACUGACACUGAUGCUCGAAAGUGUGGGUAUCAAACAGGAUUAGAUACCCUGGUAGUCCACACAGUAAACGAUGAAUACUCGCUGUUUGCGAUAUACAGUAAGCGGCCAAGCGAAAGCAUUAAGUAUUCCACCUGGGGAGUACGCCGGCAACGGUGAGACUUAAAGGAAUUGACGGGG